GGCUGUUGUUCGGUGCUGCACCCGAGUCGUGUUGACAGCCCCAGCUCUGACACACCGCGCGUGGGUUCGGCGCAGCGGCGCUGAGUUUGAGCAUUUGCAGGCUGGGGCUCUCUGCAUCUGCAAACCGCGCGCUCCGCAGCUUCAGACACGGAUUCCAUUUUAAACGACAGGUCUAAUUCAGCAGAGGGCUCUGCUCUGCACGGGGGACAGGCCCCCCGCACACACACAGUGUGUACCCGCAAAAGUUAGGCUGGCAUAAGAGGCACCCGAGUAUUGAUACUAGGUGAAUGGAGAUCAGCACUCCUCAAAGCCACCAAAUAAUUGGUAAAUGGGUGAAGCAUGAACAGUUUUUUCAGUGGACUUCACAUGGUGAGGAAGAUUUUUUUCAUAACAUAUUUUGAAGUAGUGUCUUCUCUUGGUGCUGACUAAUACAGCUCUUCAGAACCUCCUACAUCAUGUUACUUUGGUUCACAAACAGAGGCCUGGUCUACACUGCAAGUUAAGUAGUAAGCGGUCUUUCGUCAAUCUAGCUGUGGAAGUGUCUUCACUUAAAUUUGGCUCCCAUUGACGUAAAUGCCUCUCUAUGCUGAUUUAGUAACACUACCUCCCUGAGCGGUGCAGAGUUA
rnacentral:lncRNA from 1 species